GCGUCCGUAGCUCAAUUGGAUAGAGUGCCGGCCUACGAAGCCGAAGGUUGCAGGUUCGACUCCUGCCGGACGCG
rnacentral:tRNA from 1 species